rnacentral:rRNA from 1 species
UUGCGCCACGGGAGGCAGCAGUGAGGAAUAUUGGUCAAUGGCCGGGAGGCUGAACCAGCCAAGUCGCGUGAGGGAAGACGGCCCUACGGGUUGUAAACCUCUUUUGUCAGGGAGCAAGGUGCAGGUCGGGACCUGCUGUGAGAGUACCUGAAGAAAAAGCAUCGGCUAACUCCGUGCCAGCAGCCGCGGUAAUACGGAGGAUGCGAGCGUUAUCCGGAUUUAUUGGGUUUAAAGGGUGCGUAGGCGGGAUGCCAAGUCAGCGGAAAAACUGCGGUGCUCAACGCCGUCGAGCCGUUGAAACUGGC